AUGGCAAUUGUCCAUACAUACGGGAAGCCAGACAUCUUCCUCACCAUGACUUGCAAUCCUAAAUGGGAAGAGAUAACAAAUGAGUUGAUGCCUGGUCAGACGGCGCAAGACCGACCUGAUAUUGUGGCUCGUGUGUUCUAUGGAAAACUAGAGCACAUGAAAUACAUGUUGUUCAAGAAGCAUAUCCUGGGAGUUGUAGUCGCUUAUGUAUACGUAGUCGAGUUCCAAAAAAGGGGCCUC
rnacentral:rRNA from 1 species